UACGUAGGGUGCGAGCGUUGUCCGGAAUUAUUGGGCGUAAAGAGCUCGUAGGCGGUUUGUCACGUCUGCUGUGAAAUCCCGAGGCUCAACCUCGGGCCUGCAGUGGGUACGGGCAGACUGGAGUGCGGUAGGGGAGAAUGGAAUUCCUGGUGUAGCGGUGGAAUGCGCAGAUAUCAGGAGGAACACCGAUGGCGAAGGCAGGUCUCUGGGCAUUAACUGACGCUGAGGAGCGAAAGCAUGGGGGAGCAAACAGG
rnacentral:rRNA from 1 species